rnacentral:rRNA from 1 species
UCCAGACUCCUACGGGAGGCAGCAGUGGGGGAUAUUGCACAAUGGGGGAAACCCUGAUGCAGCGACGCCGCGUGUGGGAAGACGGUCCUCUGGAUUGUAAACCACUGUCCCCAGGGACGAAGAUGACGGUACCUGGGGAGGAAGCUCCGGCUAACUACGUGCCAGCAGCCGCGGUAAUACGUAGGGAGCGAGCGUUGUCCGGAAUUACUGGGUGUAAAGGGAGCGUAGGCGGCAGGGCAAGCCUGAUGUGAAAGCCCGGGGCUCAGCCCCGGGACUGCAUUGGGAACUGCCCCGCUCGAGUGCCGGAGGGGCAGGCGGAAUUCCUAGUGUAGCGGUGAAAUGCGUAGAUAUUAGGAGGAACACCAGUGGCGAAGGCGGCCUGCUGGACGGUGUACUGACGCUGAGGCUCGAAAGCGUGGGGAGCAAACAGGAUUAGAUACCCCCGUAAA